CCAGGUAAAUCCGGAAUCUUGUUAACGCUGAGGUGUGAUGACGAGGCACUACGGUGCUGAAGUAACAAAUGCCCUGCUUCCAGGAAAAGCCUCUAAGCUCUAGGUAACAUUAAAUCGUACCCCAAACCGACACAGGUGGUCAGGUAGAGAAUACCAAGGCGCUUGAGAGAACUCGGGUGAAGGAACUAGGCAAAAUGGUGCCGUAACUUCGGGAGAAGGCACGCUGGCGCGUAGGUGAAGGGACUUGCUCCCGGAGCUGAAGCCAGUCGAAGAUACCAGCUGGCUGCAACUGUUUAUUAAAAACACAGCACUGUGCAAACACGAAAGUGGACGUAUACGGUGUGACGCCUGCCCGGUGCCGGAAGGUUAAU
rnacentral:rRNA from 11 species